CGCAAAACAAAGGGAAGCAAAGCCGCGAGGCGGAGCGAAUCCCCAAAAGGCGUCUCAGUUCGGAUUGCAGGCUGCAACUCGCCUGUAUGAAGUCGGAAUUGCUAGUAAUCGUGGAUCAGCAUGCCACGGUGAAUACGUUCCCGGGCCUUGUACACACCGCCCGUCACACCAUGAGAGCCGGGAACACCCGAAGUCCGUAGUCUAACCUAUAUGGAGGACGCGGCCGAAGGUGGGUUUGGUAAUUGGGGUGAAGUCGUAACAAGGUAGC
rnacentral:rRNA from 1 species